rnacentral:rRNA from 1 species
UACGGGGGGAGCAAGCGUUGUUCGGAUUUACUGGGCGUAAAGGGCGCGUAGGCGGCCAGCACAAGUCAGUUGUGAAAUCUCCGAGCUUAACUCGGAAAGGUCAACUGAUACUGCGGGGCUAGAGUGCAGAAGGGGCAACUGGAAUUCCUGGUGUAGCGGUGAAAUGCGCAGAUAUCGGGAGGAACACCGGUGGCGAAGGCGGGAUCCUGGGCCGACACUGACGCUGAGGCGCGAAAGCCAGGGGAGCGAACGGG